AGGGUGUAAACGCUGCAGACUUGGUGUUGGAAAUCCUUCGAGGGUAUUCAGUGCCGGAGAGAAGUUGUUAAGUCUGCUACUUGGGGGAGUACGUCCGCAAGGAUGAAACUUAAAGGAAUUGGCGGGGGAGCACCGCAACGGGAGGAGCGUGCGGUUUAAUUGGAUUCAACACCGGAAAAACUCACCAGGGGAGACUGUUACAUGAAACCCAGACUAAUGAUCUUGGUUGAUUUCAGAGAGGAGGUGCAUGGCGUCAGUGACU
rnacentral:rRNA from 1 species